rnacentral:rRNA from 1 species
AUUAUUUUAAGAUUAUUUUUUAUUGUUGAAAAAAUUAAAAAUAAAUUGUUUUUAACAAAAAUUAAAAUUUAUAAUAUUUCAUUUUUUGGUUUUUUGUUUUAAAUUAAAAUAAUAAAUAUGGGGGAAAAAAAAAUUUUGUUAUAAAUUAUAUUAGUUUAUUUUAAUUAAAAAUAUUUUUUAUUAAAUUUGUUUUUUUUAUUUUUUUAUAAAAAAUAUUAAUUUAAUUAUUAUUAUUGAGUUUAAUUUAGUUAUUUUUAAAAAAAUUUUGUAUAAAAUAAAUUUGAUAAUAAAUGUUUUUUAAAUUCUUUGGGGGUUUAGUUUAUGAUUUUUUGUUUCUGCUCAUUGUUAAAUAAAA